rnacentral:tRNA from 1 species
GGGACGAUAACUCAGUUGGGAGAGUGUACGACUGAAGCUUAACUCAGUCCGAAUUCGUAAAGUCGCUGGUUCGAUCCCGGCUCGUCCCA